rnacentral:rRNA from 1 species
CUAAGCCAUGCGAGUCAAAUGUUCUUCGUGAACAUGGCGUACUGCUCAGUAACACGUGGAUAACCUGCCCUUAGGACUGGCAUAACCCCGGGAAACUGGGGAUAAUUCCGGAUAGUUCAUGGUAGCUGGAAUGCUCCAUGAUCGAAAGCUAUUGCGCCUAAGGAUGGGUCUGCGGUCUAUCAGGUAGUAGUGGGUGUAAUGUACCUACUAGCCGACGACGGAUACGGGUUGUGGGAGCAAGAGCCCGGAGAUGGAUUCUGAGACAUGAAUCCAGGCCCUACGGGGCGCAGCAGGCGCGAAAACUUUACGAUGCGGGAAACCGCGAUAAGGGGACACCGAGUGCCAGCAUCUUAUGUUGGCUGUCCGCAUGUAUAAAUCACAUGUGUUAGCAAGGGCCAGGCAAGACCGGUGCCAGCCGCCGCGGUAACACCGGCGGCCCGAGUGGUGGCCACUAUUAUUGGGCCUAAAGGGUCCGUAGCCGGUUUGGUCAGUCUUCCGGGAAAUCUGACGGCUUAACCGUUAGGCUUUCGGGGGAUACUACCAGGCUUGGGACCGGGAGAGGUAAGAGGUACUACGGGGGUAGGAGUGAAAUCUUGUAAUCCUCGUGGGACCACCAGUGGCGAAGGCGUCUUACCAGAACGGGCCCGACGGUGAGGGACGAAAGCUGGGGGCACGAACCGGAUUAGAUACCCGGGUAGUCCCAGCCGUAAACUAUGCUCGCUAGGUGUCAGGGACGGUGCGACCGUUUCUGGUGCCGCAGGGAAGCCGUGAAGUGAGCCACCUGGGAAGGACGGUCGCAAGGCUGAAACUUAAAGGAAUUGGCGGGGGAGCACUACAACGGGUGGAGCCUGCGGUUUAAUUGGACUCAACGCCGGAAAACUCACCGGGGGCGACAGCAAUAUGUAGGUCAAGCUAAAGACAUUGUA